GGGCUACUUACUCAGUCCUGACACUGGCCCACAAUUCCACCAAGCAGCCGCUGAGGACCUGCUGGCCCCCACUUAUGACACUAGCACCGACCUCACCGAAGUGAUGGAGCAGAUCAACAGCUCCUUUCCAUCCUGUAGCUCAAAUCUCCCCAGCGGGAGUGGGCAACAGGCAAUGUGAAAUAUUCAGCCAACAAACAUUUCCUGACCUUCAGUAUUGCACUUUCCAGCAAAUGCCACUCCCAAGCCCCAUUUAAUCAGAAGUUCCAUGGCUCCUUGAGAAGGCUGCUGAGUACCAAUCUAUGUUCUACUGAAGGAGUGAAGCACCGACUAUCCAAAGAGAGAAGACAAUUUUGUUCUUAUGAUAAACCUAUAUCAUUAUUUGCUCCUUCCCUUUCUAUGCAACUGUAAAUUAAGGAACAGAGCAGUAUUGGGGAAUGGUAAUACAUUUUGUCACCGAUUUGUAUACUGUACACAGCAUUGGGAAGUGGGUGGGGGCUUUCUAAUGUGAUGCUUCUUUUUAAUAACUGUGACAAAAACUUGCAUAGGAACUAGGAGAGAGUUUUACAUUCCUUUUCCAUUAACCUUGUGCAAUAACUUUAUGUAUUUCUUCAACUCUUUUACCUUGGUGGUUAUUUAUAAACUCAUUAGCCACACGACCAAGUAUAUUUCCUAUAUUUGUUUUCAUGAUUUGGCCAAUUAACAGAUUCAUAUAGUUCAGUCAAUUAUAUUACAGGUGCAUGGAUAGGCUACAGCUCUGUGCAUACUUUUUAACUUUAUUUGACAUGAUACACUUAAUUUUUCUUAGCAACCACUUGGAAACAACAACAAAAAAAAAUGUGGCUCUAACAAGUAUGUUUAUUGGUAUUUU